rnacentral:ncRNA from 2 species
AAGGGAACGCGGUCGAACACCGCGGCUGUGCCCGCAACUGUAGGCGGUGAGGCCGUCGUCCGGUCCGGGGGUUCGCUCCCGGCGUCACUGGAACCGCAUCCGCGGGACCGGGAAGGCGAGGACGGCGAUCGUUGACCCGCAAGCCAGGAGACCU